rnacentral:ncRNA from 1 species
GCCUAUGGUAGAGGUGCUAAAGUCAAUAGUAGUUAUUUUUAGUGGGUACACAGUGAGAAAUAAUGAAAGGGACAAUGGCCGAAGUGAAUGGAUAGACGUUGAAGUUCACUGGCAUUAUAAAUAAUAUUUAUGAUGUUGUCACUAAUUUUCGUGGAGAGCUACAAAGGUU